rnacentral:misc_RNA from 1 species
GAAAUGCGAUAAGUAAUGUGAAUUGCAGAAUUCAGUGAAUCAUCGAAUCUUUGAACGCACAUUGCGCCCGCCAGCAUUCUGGCGGGCAUGCCUGUUCGAGCGUCAUUUCAACCCUCGAUCCCGGCCUUUGCGGGCCGCGGAGCGGUGUUGGGGAGCGGCGGAGACACACGUCUGCGCCGGCCCCGAAAUGAAGUGGCGGCCCCGCUGCGGCGACCUCUGCGUAGUAACUCAACCUCGCACCGGGACAGCAGCGCGGCCACGCCGUAAAACCCCCGACUUUUUUUAAGGUUGACCUCGAAUCAGGUAGGACUACCCGCUGAACUUAA